rfam:Danaus plexippus plexippus isolate F-2 unplaced genomic scaffold DPSCF300217, whole genome shotgun sequence.
GUGCCUCAAUCUAUUGAGUAAGGAAAUUAUUGGGCCUUGGUAACUCUCGGCUAUGUCCUGUAAGGGCGACCGUAUUUUUGAAGGGCAAAGGUCGUCCCUUUGAGUCGUGCGCCUACUUUGCACAUGAUUCGGGUGAAGCGAUCUACCCU